rnacentral:pre_miRNA from 1 species
GAUGUACUCCCUCCGUCUGGAAAUACUUGUCGUAGAAAUGGAUACAAAUGGAUGUAUCUAGAACUAAAAUACAUCUAGAUGCAUCCAUUCCUCGGACAAGUAUUUCCGGACGGAGGGAGUAUAAA